ensembl:lncRNA
UCUUAUUGUUUUGACAGGAAUUCACUGUAUUCGCCUCCUCCCUGUCCUGCCCUAGUAACAUCUCCGAAUCUGCUCCUGAUCUGCUCUCUCAGCAGGUGUUCAGCCCUCCAAAACUGUAAGACCUCUCUUCUUUUUUUGCUGAAAAACAUAAGAGCUUAUCCACUGAAAACUCUAUCUUAAUAAAUUCACAGCUGGAAAACCAUUCUCAUUUUUUUCUUUGGAAAAUCCAUUCAGACUGAGACCACUGCAGGCAUCAGUGGAGACAGCUUUCGAAGUCAUCCUGGAUUUCUGACUCCACUUUGGAAAUAACUGUGUCUCUUCUCAACAGCUCUGUAGCCUGACCAAAUAUCAGAGAAAGAAAUAUGGAAUAGACUCAGCUGAAGUGGUUUGUUUAAGACCAUGUUCAUUUGGGUUUCAGUAUCUUCAAGAAUGCAGACAUUGAAUGAGAUUAAUCAUAUCUAAUUUUAGGCAAAUA